rnacentral:rRNA from 1 species
AGGACGAACGCUGGCGGCGUGCUUAACACAUGCAAGUCGAACGGUGACGGAGGAGCUUGCUCCUCCUGAUCAGUGGCGAACGGGUGAGUAACACGUGAGUAACCUGCCCCAGACUCUGGAAUAACCCCGGGAAACCGGAGCUAAUACCGGAUACGAGACGGAGUCGCAUGGCUACCGUCUGGAAAGUUUUUCGGUCUGGGAUGGACUCGCGGCCUAUCAGCUUGUUGGUGAGGUAACAGCUCACCAAGGCGACGACGGGUAGCCGGCCUGAGAGGGCGAUCGGCCACACUGGGACUGAGACACGGCCCAGACUCCUACGGGAGGCAGCAGUGGGGAAUAUUGCACAAUGGGCGAAAGCCUGAUGCAGCGACGCCGCGUGAGGGAUGAAGGCCUUCGGGUUGUAAACCUCUUUCAGCAGGGAAGAAGCGAAGUGACGGUACUGCAGAAGAAGCACCGGCUAACUCGUGCCAGCAGCCGC